GUGCGUGGAGCUCGAUUGGACGAGCCGCCGGCUCUUAACCGGCAGGGUGCGGGUUCGAAUCCCGCUGCGCACA
rnacentral:tRNA from 1 species